AACGAACGCUGGCGGCAGGCUUAACACAUGCAAGUCGAGCGCCCCGCAAGGGGAGCGGCAGACGGGUGAGUAACGCGUGGGAAUCUACCCAUCUCUACGGAAUAACGCAUGGAAACGUGUGCUAAUACCGUAUACGUCCUUCGGGAGAAAGACUUAUCGGAGAUGGAUGAGCCCGCGUUGGAUUAGCUAGUUGGUGGGGUAAAGGCCUACCAAGGCGACGAUCCAUAGCUGGUCUGAGAGGAUGAUCAGCCACACUGGGGCUGAGACACGGCCCAGACUCCUACGGGAGGCAGCAGUGGGGAAUAUUGGACAAUGGGCGCAAGCCUGAUCCAGCCAUGCCGCGUGAGUGAUGAAGGCCCUAGGGUUGUAAAGCUCUUUCACCGGUGAAGAUAAUGACGGUAACCGGAGAAGAAGCCCCGGCUAACUUCGUGCCAGCCGCCGCUGUAAAAC
rnacentral:rRNA from 1 species